rnacentral:rRNA from 1 species
UACGGAAGGGGCUAGCGUUGUUCGGAAUUACUGGGCGUAAAGCGCGCGUAGGCGGACCUGCAAGUCGGGGGUGAAAGCCCGAGGCUCAACCUCGGAACUGCCUUCGAUACUGCGGGUCUCGAGUCCGGGAGAGGUGAGUGGAAUUCCUAGUGUAGAGGUGAAAUUCGUAGAUAUUAGGAAGAACACCAGUGGCGAAGGCGGCUCACUGGCCCGGUACUGACGCUGAGGCGCGAAAGCGUGGGGAGCAAACAGGG